UCUGCCAUGGGGAUAGUGGCCUCUGCUGUGGUCUCCCCUGCUUUCUUUUUCCUGUUUUGAUCUCUGACAAGACUUGCUGCCCUUGAAGGACAGGGUUAGCCCAGAAGGUUUUUGUUGCUAAGCCACUGACUUGCGAUUCAGGGUAUGUGUCUUCCUCCAGGUGCUGCUGCAGACUCCCACCAUCACCCUGGGUAGGUUGCCCAGGCUCAGGUACACACGGGGUUUUGGAGACCAAGCUGCUGUUCAGGUGUCUGCUUUCUCAAGGAGGUCACUCAGCUGUGGGGGUGAUCCUCAUGACUUCAGGGCACAGCAUUGAGUCUCUGGGCUAAGUCCCUUAUACAAGCACGAACUCAGCAAAGGAUUUCAUAUCUGGAGAAAGGAGAAGCUGCUCGCUUUGGCUGCCAGAUCCUUCUUGUUCCUGUUGAUUGAUUCUGUGAGACCGUUUUCCUGGUGGUCACGGCUGCUUUCAGAAACCACUUAUGGUGUGCUGAUGAAAAGGCCAGCUUUGUGAGUAAACAUCCUAAUAAGCAGGUCUUGACAGAUGGUUUGUUGCUGAAGCCCCGCAUAACCUUACAGCUGCUGUUGGUGUCUCCCACAGAUGUUUCCCUGGAGAACUUCCCCUCAGCGUGCUCCAAAGCUCUCCACUUUCACAGCACUCCCAGCUGCAAUCAAAGCAGAAGCUUCGGUGCCUGCUUGACACAUUGCUCGUAUGGCUUUUGGUACAACAGAGACCUCUGGAAAGGCAAUUCUCACAGCGUUGAUAAAAAUGACCUGGUGGAGUCUAUUGGUGAUGCUGAGCAGGACAGGUGCAGAAACAGGAGCAUCAGGCCACGUCAGCGUAUGGGCAGAGGAACUCACACUUGUCUGGACCAGUCAGAGAAGACCUAUCUGAAUUUUAAGGUGAAACAGAARGCAGUCUGGGAGCUCUGA
rnacentral:lncRNA from 1 species